GCUGUACUGGCUGCUGUGUAAGAAUUUGGUUUGGAAGGCAGUGAGAGCAGAAUGGAAAGAGAAGAGAGGGGCCGCCUGUCACACCUAGUCUGCUGGCACAAGUCUAAAUCGGCCCUCCAGCUGCCUGCUCAUAUCUGCAAAAGGUUACUUGGAAAUGAGCAAAAUGACACAAGAUCUGUCCUCUGAAAGACAAC
rnacentral:lncRNA from 1 species